UACGUAGGGGGCAAGCGUUGUCCGGAUUUAUUGGGCGUAAAGAGCGUGUAGGCGGCUUUACAGUUCCGUUGUGAAAACUCGAGGCUCAACCUCGAGACGCCGGUGGAAACCGUAAAGCUAGAGUCCUGAAGAGGAGAGUGGAAUUCCUGGUGUAGCGGUGAAAUGCGCAGAUAUCAGGAAGAACACCCGUGGCGAAGGCGGCUCUCUGGGACGGUACUGACGCUGAGACGCGAAAGCGUGGGGAGCGAACAGG
rnacentral:rRNA from 1 species